GAUGAACGCUAGCGGCAGGCCUAAUACAUGCAAGUCGAACGAGAUUAAGAGGCUUGCUUCUUAUGAAAGUGGCGCACGGGUGCGUAACGCGUAUGCAACCUACCUUAAUCAGGGGGAUAGCCCGAAGAAAUUCGGAUUAAGACCGCAUAAAAACACAGGAUAGCAUUAUCCAAUGUUCAAAUAUUUAUAGGAUUAAGAUGGGCAUGCGUGUCAUUAGCUAGUUGGCGGGGUAACGGCCCACCAAGGCGACGAUGACUAGGGGAUCUGAGAGGAUGACCCCCCACACUGGUACUGAGACCCGGCCCAGACUCCUACGGGGGGCAGCAGGAAGGAAUAUUGGGAAAGGGAGGGAACCCUGAACCAGCCAUGCCGGGUGAAGGAAGACAGCCCUCUGGGUCGUAAACUGCUUUUAUUCGGGAAUAAACCUUUCUACGUGUAGGAAGCUGAAUGUACCGAAGGAAUAAGGAUCGGCUAACUCCGU
rnacentral:rRNA from 1 species